GCCCGGGACCGGGGCGGGGCGACCACGGGCCGGGAGCUCAGCGGUCGGCGGCCGGCGGCGGGAGAUCGCGGGCGAGCGGAGCGCAACACUCGCUUGGUUGGGGAGAUCGGCGCUUGGCCGGGUGAGCACAAGCCUGGGAGAUGGCAGUGAUGGAAAUGGCCUGCCCAGGUGCCCCUGGCUCAGCAGUGGGGCAGCAGAAGGAACUCCCCAAAGCCAAGGAGAAGACGCCGCCACUGGGGAAGAAACAGAGCUCCGUCUACAAGCUUGAGGCCGUGGAGAAGAGCCCUGUGUUCUGCGGAAAGUGGGAGAUCCUGAAUGACGUGAUUACCAAGGGCACAGCCAAGGAAGGCUCCGAGGCAGGGCCAGCUGCCAUCUCUAUCAUCGCCCAGGCUGAGUGUAGGGGCCUAGGGUUGUUGUGGGCAUGGGGCAGGUGGGUGGGCCUGCAGGUGGGUAGCUG
rnacentral:lncRNA from 1 species